GUGAAUCAUCGAAUCUUUGAACGCAAAUUGCACUCGCUGGUAUUCCGCAGAGUAUGCCUGUUUGAGGGUCAGUUCAAAUAAAAAUCGGUGUGGUUGCUUCCUGUCGUGCUGACGCACGGGAUUUGGGUCGUCUAGCCUUGGGUUAAGAGACCUAAAAUGUAGCAUGCAUUUUUUACGAACGUAUUGAAAAGAUUCUACGUACGUUCGCGAUAGCAAGUACUAG
rnacentral:misc_RNA from 1 species